GAUGAACGCUGGCGGCGUGCCUAACACAUGCAAGUCGAACGAGAUGCGUAAUGGAAAGCUUCGGCCGGGAGAUACGUUAUCUAGUGGCGGACGGGUGAGUAACACGUGGGUAACCUGCCUUAUGGAGGGGGAUAACAGAGAGAAAUCACUGCUAAUACCGCAUAAGCACACAGUACCGCAUGGUACAGGGUGAAAAGAUUUAUCGCCAUAAGAUGGACCCGCGUCUGAUUAGCCAGUUGGCAGGGUAAAAGCCUACCAAAGCAACGAUCAGUAGCCGAUCUGAGAGGAUGACCGGCCACAUUGGGACUGAGACACGGCCCAAACUCCUACGGGAGGCAGCAGUGGGGAAUAUUGCACAAUGGGGGAAACCCUGAUGCAGCGACGCCGCGUGAGUGAAGAAGUAUUUCGGUAUGUAAAGCUCUAUCAGCAGGGAAGAUAAUGACAGUACCUGACUAAGAAGCCCCGGCUAACUACGUGCCAGCAGCCGCGGUAAUACGUAGGGGGCAAGCGUUAUCCGGAUUUACUGGGUGUAAAGGGAGCGUAGACGGAAUGGCAAGUCUGAAGUGAAAUACCCGGGCUCAACCUGGGAACUGCUUUGGAAACUGUUGUUCUAGAGUGUUGGAGAGGUAAGUGGAAUUCCUGGUGUAGCGGUGAAAUGCGUAGAUAUCAGGAAGAACACCGGAGGCGAAGGCGGCUUACUGGACAAUAACUGACGUUGAGGCUCGAAAGCGUGGGGAUCAAACAGG
rnacentral:rRNA from 1 species